rnacentral:misc_RNA from 1 species
ACCCAACUUUCAGUUCGGAGAGUGAGUUAAAUUUGCAGGACCCCACCACGUGGGGAGCAACAUCCGCUUGCCGCAUGAAAGGUCCUGUCACCUUCCCAUGUGGUGGGCUUGGCCCCAAAUCAGACCUUGUUGAUUUCCGAUUCCGUUCAAAGGGUCAAGCCAAACAACAAAUUUUUGCUGUCAAUGGCGGGGAAAGCUGAUAGACCACUAGAACAGGAGCGAGCAGUCAUUUGGAGUUUGCACACUCGGUAUUAUGCAUUUGUAGACUGGAGUGGAGAUGAUGUUUUGAUCUCGCUUUCGCUAGUUCAACUGCAGGGCCAUUCAUGGAAGAGUAGGCCAUUGUAAGUCUUCAACUCGUGUAUUCAAGCAUUAGCUUUCAAUAAUUUCAUUCCCAGAAGUUCUUCUUUUCACCAAUUAUUAGAUGUAGACAUUAUUCUAGGACAUUAAAAAAUAGAAUCUUCCUCCUACCUUAAAUGGAAUAUAAUUGGACAAACUAACAUACCUCCAAGCUGAUCAAACGUAAUAGCAACAGGCCCAGUCACAGCAAACUUUCUGCAAGGCAGGGUCGUGUUAUGGACCAAUCAGGACCGAUCAGCGACAGUUUCAAAGCACCCAAUAAUAACUGGAGGUAAAUGCUACAUCUUUCAAAUUAGAUACAGCUAAAGAAAAGCUCUUCGAUCACAUAUUCAUUGAUACCAAGAGCUCAGCACAUCAAGUCAUCUUUCAAACCGAUUGCAAUCAAAUACAACUGCAAUCAUUUCAAUUAAACACAACUAUGGGAUAUGUCUCUACUUCUCUAACCAACUCCGUAAUACUUACAAAAUCUCUUUCUCCCUCUCUGUGUUGUAUUCAUAAGGUGCAGCCAAUCAAAAUGCAUACCAUCUUCAGUGGGGCACAAGGAAUGAUUGAGAGGUGAAGCAUGUGCUUUUAAUGUUGACCAUCACAAAUUUAACUAGCCUUCAUCUCAAUAUCGCCACCAUCCUCCACCACAACGGUAUCAGAGGUAUCCGAGGGAAGAAGCCCUAGGAGUGGCAAAGGCAGCAAUGAAGUGAGAUUGCAAAGAAUAAUCAAAAAGGCUAAGUUGUCAAAGCUGUCCUUUGUAACUCCAAAAAGCUGGGUUAGACCAGCACCGAUCAGCCCUCCAAGAACACUUCCUCCAUUUGAAAUGGACAUGAGAGUCGCAAAAAGUGUUGCUUCCAUCCCUUCUGGACAUAAUUUGGCAGCUAGCACAAGAACGGGCAUAAAAGAAGCCUGAGCAAGAACAGUCAGAAUCAAAGAAUCCCCAAUCGCAAACCACUCAUCGCUUAUGCCAAAUUUACGGUUAAGUCCAGUAACAAGGAAAACCUGAGCCAAAAACACAACAAAAUUGAACAAUAACAGAAAGCCCAUAAACACAAUUAGUUCACAGGAGAGCCUUCUACAAAGGGAAAUCACAAUACAAACCUGAGUCAUCCCAAGAGCUGUACCACUUACGGUGGUAAAAACAAAAAUCUUCCGCAAAGGAACAUUUUUCAGAAAGCCAUUAUAAAGUCCAACCCCAACCAAUGAUGCAAUUGAGGUGACAAGCUUGACACGUCCUAGAAAUUCUGGGGUGAAACCAAGUUUAUUUGUGCUGAAAACAAAGAUUAUGUUGCUGCAGAUGCAGAUUAUGUAGAUUGUGUAAUCAAUUAAAGAAAUUCCAAAACCAUGAAACAGAAUUAAAGAAUAACUACCACAGUCAACAUCUGCACGUAUGUAAAGUAAAACAAAGCAGAGUCCGAUUGUGGUGUUGCCUGCCAGAGAAAAAUAAAUAACGUGGGAAGAAAUACAUUGGGCUGCUUGACUGCAUCCCACAACAGAAUAAUAUGCUGCUUUGAGCUUUCCAGAAAGCCAAGAUCAUUCAAAGCAAGAUUCUGUCCUCUUGCUGGACCAAGAAUGUGCUGUUCUUUCACAAGAACAGCAACUGCUGAAGUUAUCAAUGGUAGCAAUGCUGUGACCCCAAAAACAAACCUGAGACACUAAACUCGGAUUGCAAUGAUAUAUUUGAGAGUCAUUAAUCUAGGAAAUUAAAUUUAUGCACAGCUGCAUCAAGCACCUUACACCAUAAGCAUCCACCAGAAAGCCACUGAAGUAGGAGCUCACAAUUCCAUCAAAAGCUGAAGAAACCCAACAUAAAGACUGAAGUGAACCUGAAAAGCUUUGUGACUCACCACGAGACCUCUCUACCACCAUGGACACAGCCAUUUGAAAUGUACAAUCAUCACUCAUCCUAUCCUUGCCUCUCUUCCACCAAAGUAUGGAGCUCUGUCCUGCUAGUGUUGGAAGUAAUCAUCAGAAAAUAAGAUUCACACAUCACAUUUCUCAUUGCAUGCAUUGCCAUAUCUCUACAUUAAAAGACGUGCAAAUACUUAGCAUACAUUUAGGCUAAUCCAAAUAUCUACCAAUGAUAAGCAGGCACAGAAACAAACACAUCCUAAACAUUGUCUAAAAUGUUCAAAUGAUAUUAAAACAGCAUGCUGACAAGUCCACAUAAUAGUUGCCAAAGGUACAUAAAAAUUUUCCAUGGAGCAAUGAAUGUUUUGGAAUUUGGACUUGGGGGUUCAAUUUGAACUUGAUUGGUCACACAUUUUCAUCAAAUGUAUGUGGUUGCUUGAGCAGAAGAGUUUACUCCUGCCUCAACGAACAUGUGCAGUAUAACAGACAUCACUUAACAUUUGAGUAGCAUUGUUGCCCUGGUUUUGAUAUUUAACAUUGAUGUUGAAUCCUCAGAACUGAACCCAGAAAUUGGCAAGCGAAAAGCCCAUUUGUUAAUUAUCUAUUGGAAAUGACAAAAUAACCUACCUACCUAAAUUAUCCUCAAAUUCUACACUAAUUUUUCCUCCAAAUGGGUCAAAGCAGUAUUAAGUAGUAAGUUGAUUGCUGUCUUCUCAUCAAACUGAUCAAAGUCAGAUUGGUUGUAACCUAUGUCAUUUAUUAUUUGAAAUAACAAAAGAAGUAUGACCAUCUCUUACUUGUACCAUUAUAAGAUCCUUUGAAAUUUGAACCCACCAAGCUUCCUCAUGGUAGGAUUCAAGAUCCCCUAGCCUCUCUCCCCAUCCACUGACCUCCAUGCAUCCAUCAAAUUCGAAACUCUUCAAGGCAAUCAAAAUAGCAAAAAUUUUUCUUCCUAUGCAUGUAGAGCACCAGCAGAAAAGACCUUUGCAAGUAUAGUGCUCUUAAACAUGACUUAAAGCUCAUAAAAACGUACAAUCAUAAUUCCUUAAAACUAAUGUGACGUUAGUAGUAUUAGUAUGCAAUUAAAUGCCUAAAAAUUUCCAACCCUUCAUAAAUAUUUCUAUAUAAGUUAAGCAAAACUUCUGUCUAUAACUAAUUUAAGUGGUAACAUUAGAUUCUAAUAAAACAUAUGCCAUUUACAUAUUCUUGCAAGAGUCACAAGUUCCAUAAAUAUUAAGUCAUUGAAUGCACCUGAAAACUGAUUCACAACUCUAUCCUAGCAUUUUUACAAAUUCACAAAGUUGAAGAUACUUGCGACAUCUGAGAUCGAAGAGACUGCACAAAGAAGUCCUGAAAGAACCAAGUACGACCUUCUUUGAUAACCAAAAACUGGGACAGAAUCGCUAAUAAACCCAUAAAGAGGUUUGACAAGCCACGGUAAUGAAGAAAAACCAGAUAUCACAGCGUCUAGCCAACCAUGUAGAUUUUCAGUCCUUGAAAACAUUAAUUCAAACAGGACUACUCUACCAUAAAACUAAACUUUCCACUCUUACACUCCAUAACCCACGGAGAUCUCACAGCAAUGUUGCCGUUUCGAUACUAAAAUGUUAAAAAAAAGAUACAUAGUGCAUGGUAAACAAAAUUAUCAAUAAGAACAGGGCUAGAGUGCACAUUGUAAAGUUGACGCAAUAACUUCUUGCACCAUUCACACUAUUCUACGACAACAAAUACACAUAAACUUAUGGUUAGGGAUAUCUAGAUAGAUAUAUACACCUGUUUUAUUUCCAAAGAAAUCAUAAAAAUGGGGGCAUAGCUCUGCAGGAUUUAGAUGCAAAUCAUCUUUCAAGUAGCAACUGGCAACAAGUCUGGAAAGGCCUAAAACUCAUUGAACAAAAUACACCAUUGCAACAGCAAUAUUAUCCGGUGACAAAUCCACCCCAAAGCAGUCGAUUCUGCUGCCAAGAUGUCUUUUUUCCGAUGCAUAAGAUGUCUGUUUUUACGCACAACACUUUUACUACUAGAGGUUGUCACUUCCUCCGCAUCUGUUGUAAGCAUUUCACCUUUAGCACCACCUAGCUCAAGCAUAAACCAGCUUAAAUACCCAAAACCAAAUAAUCACGUCUAAUAAAUACAUUCCAAUUAUUUCAAGCUUAUCAUAAUUUCAUAAUUUGAAAUUGAAGCUUGUGAUCCCAACCAUUUCAAGCACCUAAAUUCAAUCGUAUGCAAAAUAUCUAGAAAAAAAAAACUGCCGUUUUAAGCACAUUCAAAUGAAAAACUGCCCAAGAUAUGGAAGUUGACGAUUUACAAUAAUGAAUUAGUAAAUAAAUUACUAUCUACGAUAACCAAGAGCGACUCCUCCCUUCGGUCCCGCCGGUAAGAUGGCAUCGGCAUGGAAAUGUCCUUCUCCGGCCGUUUCCAUCGUGAACUCCGGCGAGCUCAGCCGCGAGCGAUGACAGGGAGGCGUUUCCGGUGAAUAUGAGAGAAAGGGGAAAAAGGAAAAAGGUGGAUUAUUGGAGGGUAAGAUUGGGAUUAAAGUAAAUUUUAAAUAGUAGUGGUAGAAGACAUAAAAGUUUCAAUCCAAGUCAACUGGUACUGACUGGUGCAAAUUUAC